CUUGAAUGUCUCUAUGUGCCUACAUUCAGGAAAAUGAAUCACCUCCCCUAAGUCUAUAUGUAAAUAUAAUUAACAUUAAAAGCAUUUAGAGAUAGGAGGGCUUUUAAUUUGUUCUGUUUAUUACUUAUUAUUUAAAUAUAGCUUAACAAGGCAAACAAAGCAAAAUGCCUGUAUCUCAUUAUCUUUCUAUAUUCUGGGGGAAAAAAAAUAAAAAAAGACAAUACACAAAAAGUGUCUAAAAGUGAGCAGCUUGUGGUUAUGUUGCUAUAGUUACAGAAUGAUCAGAGGCUUUGCUAAGCCAGAAAAAGAAAUGAGCAGUUUCAAAAUAGUUUUGCACCUAGCUGCUGCAGACAGUGUUGCAUUUCCAAGUAGGCAUGUUUGUUCUGCUUUGCAUUGGUGAAAUGUGAAGAAUGUGAAGAAACCAUUUGUCUCUUGAAAUUUCUAACGAAUAAAAAUCCUUUUCACUGAGAAAUUCUGAAAAAUUCUAUUAAGAUAAGAACAACAGCUGCUAUUAACAGAGAAAAAAAUCUAAAACGUUGAAAACAAGAGUCUGAUUCAUCAAUCUAACCACUGAUACCCUAGAGCCGUUCAAGACAGCGAAAGGUCAUAAAUGAAGAUGCUAAGCAGUACUGUCCUCAGCAUGAACCUCAAGAGUCAGCUGCUAGUGGCUAGCCCCCAUUUCAUUUCAUUACUCGUGUUGUUUUAUGAAGUCUACCCACCUGAAAGUUACCUGUUUUAUCAGAAUAAAGGAAUUGUCUGCCACUUGCUGCAAGUAGUGAAAUAAAAUUAUCCCAUGUGCUUUUAAAACAUCUUCAGUAUAACACAUGCACUGCUUCAAGUUUGUAGGAAUCAAGAAUCUAUCCUGCAUAACUUCAGUCUUGUUGGAGUUUCCUCC
ensembl:lncRNA